rnacentral:rRNA from 1 species
GUAGGUGGCAAGCGUUGUCCGGAAUUAUUGGGCGUAAAGCGCGCGCAGGUGGGUUCUUUAAGUCUGAUGUGAAAGCCCCCGGGCUCAACCGGGGAGGGUCAUUGGAAACUGGGGAACUUGAGUGCAGGAGAGGAAAGUGGAACUCCACGUGUAGCGGUGAAAUGCGUAGAUAUGUGGAGGAACACCAGUGGCGAAGGCGACUUUCUGGCCUGUAACUGACACUGAGGCGCGAAAGCGUGGGGAGCAAACAGGAUUAGAUACCCUGGUAGUCCACGCCGUAAACGAUGAGUGCUAAGUGUUGGGGGGUUUCCGCCCCUCAGUGCUGCAGCUAACGCAUUAAGCACUCCGCCUGGGGAGUACGGUCGCAAGACUG